UGAAGUUAAAGGCUGNGGCUCAACCAUAGUUCGCUUUGGAAACUGUCAAACUNGAGUGCAGAAGGGGGGAGUGGAAUUCCAUGUGUAGCGGUGAAAUGCGUAGAUAUAUGGAGGAACACCGGUGGCGAAAGCGGCUCUCUGGUCUGUAACUGACGCUGAGGCUCGAAAGCGUGGGGAGCGAACAGGAUUAGAUACCCUGGUAGUNCACGCCGUAAACGAUGAGUGCUAGGUGUUGGGUCCUUUCCGGGAUUCAGUGCCGCAGCUAACGCAUUAAGCACUCCGCCUGGGGAGUACGACCGCAAGGUUGAAACUCAAAGGAAUUGACGGGGGCCCGCACAAGCGGUGGAGCAUGUGGUUUAAUUCGAGGCAACGCGAAGAACCUUACCAGGUCUUGACAUCCCGAUGCUAUUUCUAGAGAUAGGAAGUUACUUCGGUACAUCGGUGACAGGUGGUGCAUGGUUGUCGUCAGCUCGUGUCGUGAGAUGUUGGGUUAAGUCCCGCAACGAGCGCAACCCCUAUUGUUAGUUGCCAUCAUUCAGUUGGGCACUCUAGCGAGACUGCCGGUAAUAAACCGGAGGAAGGUGGGGAUGACGUCAAAUCAUCAUGCCCCUUAUGACCUGGGCUACACACGUGCUACAAUGGUUGGUACAACGAGUCGCAAGCCGGUGACGGCAAGCUAAUCUCUGAAAGCCAAUC
rnacentral:rRNA from 1 species